AUCAUGUGAUCCUGCAGAAGAAGCUCCAGUUUCCAUGGAAAACAGACGCCUUUAAGGGCAUUCUUGAGGACGUUGUUUGGAUGGACCUUGUUGUCUUGGAUGAAAGACAAGAACCGUUUUGGUGUAUAAGUUCACUUUGUGAGAUAGAAUGCAAAAAACUUGUGUCUAAUCAUGACUUUGAUUAUUCUGGC